ensembl:lncRNA
AGCCCUGUAACCCACGGACAACUUUCCCCUUCCUCACCUCCCUUCUGAGGGCUUCACCCUUAGCCAUAAUUGGAGAAAAAUCUGGAGAGGGGCCGAAGGGGCAGCUGUCUGGUUUGCUGGAAUGAAAAGGCAUAGUUCUUUUUUUGCUUUAUUUGCCAUGCUGCAUGGUUAAGACAGACUUCUAAGAAGACAACUAUCAAGUUGGAAGGAAGUGUUGAUCUGCCUGAGGGUAGGAAGACCCUACAGAGUGAUCUGGGCAGGCUGGAUCGAUGGGCUGAGGCCAAUUGUGUGAGCUUCAACACAACCAAGUGCUG